AGAAAAGCGACAAGGGAAGAAAAAAAAAUGGGAACACAAAAUGAUCAACAUAUGUUUCUGACUCAAAGCAGGAAAAAACAAAGGCUGAAUUUUAAAAAGCCUCGCUCGCCCCGAAGCAUGACAAUGAUUUCCACUUGCGUUUGAGAGGAUGAUGUCACUGAAGUCAGAGGUAGUGAUGGUGGUGAUGAUAAUGAUUAUGAUGACGCUGAUGAUGAAGGCCACAUGUUACAGCAGAACUGAGGCUCGGAGUCACAAAUCCUUUACAAGAUGAGAAGCGGGUGUGAGACCAGCGUGUGCUCUUCUGAUGGUGUAUUAAACACUGAUGUAUAUCACUGCAGUAGGACGUUUUAUAUACACAUACACAAAUGGUCACAUGUCCAGAAUGGUGGAAUAGAAUCAGGAUUAUCUAACCGAGUCUUAUAGUAUGUGAGAGACACGGUUGGAUAAAAGCCAAAAGUUUAUAAUACUAUAAAAAUCUAAUUAAGCCCAUUGUUAUUUGUUGGUUUGUUUGUUUGUUUGCAUAGCUGGUUAGUCAUUACAGCUGUAAGUAAUUUAUAAGUCAGUAAAUUAGUGAGUUUAAUUAAUGUCGGUGAGUGACUAAGUCAGUGAAUUAGUGAGCUAAGUAAAGUCAGUAUGUCAGAAAGCUGGUGAGUUAAUUUAGUAAAGUCGCUGAAUUAAGUUACUAAAGUCAGUAAGUUAGUGAGUUAGAUUAAUAAGUUAGUGAGUCAAGUUGGUAAAAUUAAUAAGUCAGUACAUUAGUGAGGUAAGUUAGUAAAGUCAGUAAGUUAGUGAGUUAGGUUACUAAGUUAGUGAGUUAAGUUGGUACAAUUAGUAAGUCAAUACAUUAAUGAGGUAAGUUAGUAAAGUCAGUAAGUUAGCAAGUUACUGAGUUAAGUUAAUAAAGUUAGUAAGUCUGUAAGUUAGUAAAGUCAGUAAGUUAGCAAGUUACUGAGUUAAGUUAAUAAAGUUAGUAAGUCUGUAAGUUAGUAAAGUCAGUAAAUUAGUGAGGUAAGUUAGUAAAGUCAGUAAGUUAGCAAGUUACUGAGUUAAGUUAAUAAAGUUAGUAAGUCUGUAAGUUAGUAAAGUCAGUAAAUUAGUGAGGUAAGUUAGUAAAGUCAGUAAGUUAGUGAGGUAAGUUAGUAAAGUCAGUAAGUUAGUGAGUUAGGUUACUAAGUUAGUGAGUUAAGUUGGUACAAUUAGUAAGUCAAUACACUAAUGAGGUAAGUUAGUAAAGUCAGUAAGUUAGCAAGUUAGGUUAGUAAGUUACUGAGUUAAGUGAGUAAAGUUAGUAAGUCUGUAAGUUAGUAAAGUCAAUAAGUUAGUGAGGUACAUUAGUAAAGUCAAUAAGUUAGUGAGUUAGAUUACUAAGUUAGUGAGUUAAGUCAAUUAAGCUAGUAAAGUAAGUAAGUCAGUACAUUAGUGAGUGUGGUUAAUAAGUUAGUAAAGGCAAUACGUUAGUGAGUUAAGUUAAUUAUGUAGGCAAAGUAAGUAUGCCAGUGCAUUAGUGAGUUUGGUAGAGUCAAUAAGUUAGUGACUUUGAUUAAGUUAGUGAGUUAAGUUAACUAUGUAAUAAAAGUAAGCGUGUCAGUACAUUAGUGUGUUAAGCUAAUAAGUUAGUCAGUUAAGUUAAUUGAGUUAGUAAAUAAGUAAUUCAAUACAUGAGUGAGUUUGGUUAACAAGUUAGUAAGGUCAAUAAGUUUGUGAGUUAAGUUAAUUAUGUUAGUAAAGAAAGUCAAGACAUUAAUGAGUAAAGUUAGAAAGUCAGUUAAAUUGAGUUAAAUUAGUGGUCACUAGGACAGUAGUGAGUUAAGUUAUGUAAAGUAAAGUUAGUAAAGUCAGUAAAUCAGCAAGUUAGUGAGUAAAGUAGUAAAUAAAGUUAGUGUAUC
ensembl:lncRNA